GCAGGGGUUCCCGAGUGGCCAAAGGGAUCAGACUGUAAAUCUGACGCGCAAGCUUCGGAGGUUCGAAUCCUCCCCCCUGCA
rnacentral:tRNA from 1 species